CUUCAGUUAAUGCUGAGACCCCAGCAUAUUUGCAGCUUUGAAGACGUUGUGCUUUUCAACUAUGAAGUUGUUGUGCCUUCUCUUUCUCUUCAUUUUGCUGCUGGAUUCUCCAAGAGUCAUGGCAGUAAGGAUUACUAGUGAAAAACAAUGUGUGGAAGCUGAUGGAAUGUGCCUAUUUAGAGAAUGUCCUAUAACUAAAUUUAUUGGGGAGCGUUCAGACUUUAGACAUUGUUGCCAUAUUAGAGAUCAAGCUGAAACCGAUGCUGAAACUACAGUCUCCAAGUGAAUAAAAGGGCAUCUCUGGAUGUGCGAUAAGGGGUGACCAUCCACUCCCGCUGGCUGUAUCCCUGGUCCUCUGAAUAUCACCGGCUUCGCCCAUUGCCCACUGACCUCCAUGGAUGCAACAUUUACCCAGGAAUAACUGCAUAUAUUUCGACUACGGAAGCCUGUCACAAUGCUGGACACUCGUGUAUCUUCGCUACAUGUCUACUUCCUAGUCAACUCUGGUUCGGAAUUUGUGAUUCAUCGUUUUAUCCUUGUUGCGGAUAAUGAUUUCAAUUCACCCAAGAAUAACUUCUGUCUUGUCCAGAAAGAAUUUCAGUUUUUUCACCCACAUCUUGCCCAGCAAUAAAUGAACCUCAAUUCACAAUCUCUACAAAUUCCACCGCCGUUCACUAGUAACUAUGGGCCAGUUCCCACAACUCCCCCCUUGGAGAAUUGAGAGAUUUGUGCAGCAUAUGAGCUGCCCAUUUCCAGUAGUAUGAAACUGGAAAUGUUGUGGCAAUGUCAGGUUGGCACUGCCUCUACCCAACAUGAAACCAGGAUCCAUAAUCCAGGAUUUAAUCUAUGGUUGUCUAUGCCAUUCACUUCUCAGACAGUGUCAGUCUUUCAUUGUCAGAAAAUUUCUGGGGUCCUACAAUCAGAAAUUAGAAGCACGCUUACCAUGUGACUCUCCUAAUUCCUGUUUCUCCACUGUAGAGGUGAUAGUGAGAACCAGCCCUAUGCUUAAUUUUCUAUGAGCCAAAGGCAUCCAUGCACAACAUGCUUGGAUACCUGAAAUUAAAAUCCAUCUAUGGGGCAGUCUGGCAACUCACUUGACUGUAAGAAUAAUAAUUUCAGUGUAUAAGAAUUUGAAAUAUAUUAUGACAUGUCCUGGGUCCCUAUUCAUCUAUCAAACACUGUUCAGAGGAUUUCCAGUGGAUAAGAAUGAAGAUUCUAGUAGCCACCACUAAAAUAAACAAGUGAUUCAUUCCAGCUCUCCAAAAGAACUAAAUUAUUCAGAUAGCCAAAGCGUAGUAGAGAUGCUACCGAAGUAUUUAUUUCCAGAGUGGUAGAACAUUAAUCUUUUGCAAGAAAAAUGACAAAUGCUGAGAUCCAGGCUAACACUGCAAUAGCAAAAGAAUGUUGCGCCAGCAGGGCACAUUUGCAGAUGAAUACAUUGUAGAACAUUCAAUUUGCACAGCU